rnacentral:rRNA from 1 species
UACGUAGGGUGCGAGCGUUAAUCGGAAUUACUGGGCGUAAAGCGCGCGUAGGUGGUUUGUUAAGUUGAAUGUGAAAUCCCCGGGCUCAACCUGGGAACUGCAUGCAAAACUGGCAAGCUAGAGUAUGGUAGAGGGUGGUGGAAUUUCCUGUGUAGCGGUGAAAUGCGUAGAUAUAGGAAGGAACACCAGUGGCGAAGGCGACCACCUGGACUGAUACUGACACUGAGGUGCGAAAGCGUGGGGAGCAAACAGG